rnacentral:rRNA from 1 species
GACGAACGCUGGCGGCGUGCCUAACACAUGCAAGUGGAGCGACGAACCAGGCUUCGGCCUGGGGCAAAGCCGCGAACGGGUGAGUAACACGUGGGUAACCUGCCCUGAUGAUUGGGACAACCCGAGGAAACUCGGGCUAAUACCAAAUGUGCCCUUCGGCCACAAGGCCGCUGGGGAAAGGAAGCUUCGGCCUCCGCAUCUGGAUGGGCCCGCGGCCCAUUAGCUUGUUGGUGAGGUAACGGCUCACCAAGGCGACGAUGGGUAGCUGGUCUGAGAGGACGAUCAGCCACACUGGGACUGAGACACGGCCCAGACUCCUACGGGAGGCAGCAGUGGGGAAUCUUGCGCAAUGCGCGAAAGCGCGACGCAGCAACGCCGCGUGGGGGAAGACGGCC